UUAGAUGUCUGGGGCCGCACGCGCGCUACACUGAAGGAAUCAGCGUGUGCUCUCCCGGACCGACAGGACUGGGUAACCCGCUGAACCUCCUUCGUGAUAGGGACAGAGGCUUGUAAUUGUUCCUCUUGAACGAGGAAUUCCUAGUAAGCGCGAGUCAUAAGCUCGCGUUGAUUUGGUCCCUGGCCCUUGUCCACACCGCCCGUCGCUACCACUGAUUGAAUGGUUUAGUGAGGUCUUCGGACUGGCGCUCGGACCGGACGAUCGGACGGGCCGAAGUGCCGGAAAGAUGACCGAACUUGACCAUUUAGAAGAUGUAAAAGUCGUAACAAGGUUCCC
rnacentral:rRNA from 1 species